UUAUAUAUUCUGUGGGAGGUAAGUGGGGAUGACGUCAAAUCAUCCUGCCCCUUAUGAUUUGGGCUACACACGUGCUACAAUGGACAAUACAAAGGGUAGCGAAACCGCGAGGUCAAGCAAAUCCCAUAAAGUUGUUCUCAGUUCGGAUUGUAGUCUGCAACUCGACUAUAUGAAGCUGGAAUCGCUAGUAAUCGUAGAUCAGCAUGCUACGGUGAAUACGUUCCCGGGUCUUGUACACACCGCCCGUCACACCACGAGAGUUUGUAACACCCGAAGCCGGUGGAGUAACCAUUUGGAGCUAGCCGUCGAAGGUGGGACAAAUGAUUGGGGUGAAGUCGAACAUGGAGGCUGUAGAC
rnacentral:rRNA from 1 species